UCAAGGUUCAAUUUCUAUAUUCAGUUCUCUGUAUACUUGUGUUUGGUUAUGAAAAACCUGCAUUAAGUUAGUAGAUUCCCAUUUUUGGUGGGAAUGUGGACGUUGUUAUAAUCCAGUCAGAAAACUAGAAAGCAAGGGUGCCGGGGUGAUUCAGUCAGUUGAGCGUUCGACUCUUGAUUUCGGCUCGGGUCAUGAUUCCAGGGUCUGGGAUCGAGCCCUGAGUCAGGCUCUGUGCUCACUGUGGAGCCUGCUUAAGAUUUUCACUCUCUUUCUCCCUCUGCCCCCUCCUGGACUCAUGCUUGCUCUCGCUCGCUCGCUCUCGAGAGUAAAACACACACACACGCACACACACACACACACACACAUACACACACACAAAACCAAUUGGAAAUCAAAUAUGUGGUUCUGUAUUAUAAAUUUACUAGUUUGGAAUUUUUUUUUAUUCCAAAGGGCAAAAAAUUAACUAGAGCACCAUUUUUGAUUUCCUCAUUUUUCCAGAGCAAAACUAUCUCAUACCAAGAACAUUGGUGAAGAAUUAAGGAAUCUGGUGGAGAGGUGUGGAUUGGCCUAGAUUAGAAUAGUCUGGGGAAGGGGGGCUGAUGAAUAAUACUUGAAGAACCGACAUAUAACAGUGGGAAGAAAUUUGUCAGUCAUCCCAAAGGCCAGAACCAAGAUGAGAUCAAGGUUACAGUGUAAGGGGUAAAAAAAUGUUCUAGCCAUUGGUACUGAAAGAUGGCGUCACAAAAUGGUGAGACCCUACCCCGGGAGGAAUUCACGCAGUCAGGAAGGUAGGCCCUAUGGAGGCUGAGAGCUGGUUGUCCUGUGUGGACAGCCUGAGAGGCGGUACCAAGGAGUCGUUCACCUCUAAGGCCCCAUGUCAUCACCACUGUAACUCACCAGAACUGCUCGCAGGUCCUUGAGGGGAGAACGGGGCUGGUGGAUGGUGCAUUCGAAGCGCGGACGUUCUGCGGGUUGAUCAACCUCUUUGGCUAUCUGAGGAAAAAGAAGGAGAUUCUUGCUGAUGGAGAUAAAGAAAUGGAAUGGUGUUUCCCACUUCUACCAAAGAUUGUGCGUGGAAAGGCGCAGGCCGUAGGACCAGUGUUGGCUGGAGCAGCCAACCACGCAUAAGGUCAGCAGAAGAAAUCCAGCGACAAGUUUUGGAAUCGCCUCCAUUCUGAGGAACACGAUGGAACAGUCAGAGGAGCCCCAGACUGGGUUGAGCAAAAAGUAAAGACCUCUUUGUGUUACUUCUUCUAGACAACUGAAUGGGUGGAGAAAAAAAAAAAAAGUGAGAAGGACAACAUUUUUCAUCUUGGGCAUCUUCCUCCGGCCCUGAAAUUCUCAUCUGACACUCUGCGACAUAUGUAGUGGGGUCAACAUCUCUUCAAAUAUAGCUCCCUUCACGUUGGAACCUCUCAGGUUGGCUUCUUGAAGAUCGCACCCAGACAGGUCGCAAUUCUGCAAGACAAAAACAAUAUUCAUGAAUCUAAGAUUCCUGGGGCACAUGAGGAAAAUGUUCCAACGUCAUGAAACCCUGUUAUUUCUGGAAGACUGCCGUGUUAGAAAAAAGUCAGAUUUUCUUCUAUAUCUGGAGUUGUUUUCUGUAGGUGAGUGGUCAGGCUGACAGUCACAAAUACUGACAGAGGUUAAAGAGGAAGUGUGUGUGUCUCUUCUGUUCCCAUAUUUUAGAAUCGGUCAUUUAAAACCCAGAAUGGACUCCAACGUAAUAAAUAUUAUCUAUGCAAAUUUACCACAAUCCGAGGACAACAAAAGGCAGGGCAGGUAAGCACUAUUAAAAAAAAAAACCCAAAAACCUGAGGGGCACCUGGGUGGCUCAGUCAGUUAAGCGUCCGACUUCAGCUUGGGUCAUGAUCUCACGGUUCGUGGGUUUGAACCCCGUGUUGGGCUCCAUGCUGACAGCUCAGUGCCUGGAACCUGCUUCAGAUUCUGUGUCUCUCGCUCUCUCUGCCUCUCCCCUGCUCCUGCUCUGUCUCUGUCUCUCAAAAAUAAAUAGAUGUUUAAAAAAUUUAAAAAGAGAACAACUGAAAGAGAUCUUACUUACUAAUUACAUUAUAAUAGAUUUUUCCAUUCCCCAACUCGAACAUUUUUAUAGCAGGGAACUGCUUUUUUUUUUUUUUAAAACCCCAAAUUAUGUGCACAAUUCAAUGAGUUUUAACAAAUGUAUAUACAACAGUGUAACUACCACCACAGUUGGAAGCUGCUUUUAAAUUUCUCUUGAGAUCACAGAGUGGCAGAUGAGACAGAUCAUGGGUAAGUCCUUGGGGAUGGUGGGUGACUGCACAUAACCUUUUAGGACAGAAUGUCACCAGCUGCCCUUCAAACAGUCAACCUGACUAGUCUGCAUUCAGUUGCCAUCAGGAAGACUUCUGGUGUUUACCUACAUGGUAACUAAAACCAAGGGGAAAAAAAAUCAUCAUUUUUGGUGACAGUACCAAAGAAUAAAAAAUUAAGGAACUGUGCUUAUAAUAGGCUUCUAUUUUGGGCCUUGGGCAGGUUCUUUUUGCCUUUAAGUUUAAUGGGGCCUGCCACUCUACUGCUAAGAUCUGUCAAGAGAACAAAGCAGAAACAUUAAAAGGGAAAAAUCAAUGACAAGCCAAAUUUUGACCCACUCUUCUCUCCAAUCCGAUCUAUGCCAGGUUUUCCCGGAUAAGGCUGUGCUGUUCAAUAUGAUGGCAACAGCCACAUGUGGCUACUUAUAUUUAAAUGAAUUAAAAUUAAGUAAAAUUUAAAAAUCUGUUUCUCAGUUACACUGGCCAUAUAUCAAGUGCUCAACAGCCACAGCGCCUGGUGGCUACUGUCCCAAACAGAUUUAGAACGCAUCCAGCAUUGCAAAAAGUGCUAUGGGACGGCACCAAGAGACCUAUCAACAGCCCUUGAGCCUGCCAGCUACAUUUGCGAAUCAAGACAACAUAUAUAAUUCUGAUGAAAAAGACGCGCAAAGUUAAAAGCUCAAAUUGUGAUUCAAAAAGAACACGAUUCCAAUUUAGAAUAGGCUCUCUCUUAACCUGAUUUCAAACCUGGAUAUCUUUUACAUUUCUCGAACAGUUAAAAAGAUAAUCUGGCCCCAUUUAAUUCUGUCUGGACUUAAAACUGAAGAAAAACACAAUAAAUUCCAUUAGUAAAGCAGUCAUCAAACUCAUCUACUUGAAGGAGACCCAAGGAACAGAGGACAAAUGAAAUCGGCUUCGACCGACUGUCAGAUGAAUCUUUCAAUCUGAAACUGGGACCCAUGGCCUGUGUGACUGAAUCCUGCUCUGGGAGGCACGUCUGCUGAAACAAGCAAUCGACAGGAGACACCGCUCCGGCUGUGCGGGCGUGCUCCCUGGCAGUUUUUACCAGCCAAUGACUUUGUUGGCGACCUCGAUACAUUUUGCAGGACAGGCUCAGUGACUGUAACGCUCUUCAGACAUUGGUGACUCACCUCUAAAUCCGUUCCUGCCAGAGUUGCGCCUCGGAGGUUACAGUUCUUCAACUUCGCAUUUUUUAAGGUAGCAACUCUCAGGUUAAUUCCUGUCAUUUGACUUCCUUCCAUAUCCACACCUUUCAGAUUAGCACCUAUGGUGAAUAUAUUUUGAUAGCAGUUGAACUUCAAAAUAUUUAUAGUCCUCUCCCUUCAAAAAACCGCAGGUUUAGUUUACUUAAUGGAGGUGAAUGACAGGCUCUUUAACUUUUGGAAAGGACUCCGUGAACCAUAAAUCUCAGUCUCUCAACCAACUUACACAUAUAAAGCGUUCAUUGUUAACAAUCUGUUUGCUUGUUCUAUGAAUUAAGAAUGUUUUAGUCUAUAUUUUUGAGGGAAGAAUUCAAUUCGGUCUUAAGAUAAUUAGCACUUUUAUAAUAUGCUUCUGUAAGUUUAUGAUAAGGAAGGUAAGUCCCCUGUAUUCUAAACAUACAGAUAAAUGAAGUGACCAGUUCACUCACACAACAGAGGAAUAAGAAAUUCGUAAACAAAACAUUAAUCUAAAAAUGACAGAAACUGCCUAGCUUUGUGCAAAUUCAUUUUAGUCACUGUAAGCGUAUACUGUUUAAUUUCAAAGUUCGAGAUGUUGACAUUUAAUUCUCCAACUGAAGCCUUAUUCAAUAGUAGAGGCUGGAUUUCCCCUAACUUCUUGCCUAGCACAUGACUGAGACCAAGUAUGAUGGCAGAAGAAAUCUACCUCCCCAUAGUGGUCAUGAUUUUUCCGUAACAAUUAUUUUGUUGGGCUUUUUACUUUGUGAUAUGUUCUCACCUUAGAAAAUGUAAUUAUAGAUAGAAUCUCACCUUCUAAAUUGGCUUUAAGACCAGAAGGAUCUUCAAAAUUACACAGUUUCAGGGAUGCCCCUUCUGCAUUAGAACAGAGCAUCUUGACUCCCUGGAGAUUUGCACACUGGCAAGAAAAAGAGAAAAGUCCACGUUUUAACAUUCAGAAUUUUGUGUGGAAAAGAAAAAAAUGGGCUCAAACAAUAAAAGAAAAAAAUAGAGAAGGGGAGGAAGCUCAAUUCCAUACACUCACAAUCAAUUAUUUUCUGUUUAUAAUGAAGACUUUUCUAACUGGAAUCAACCAAGAGCUGAGAACCACUUUGAAGAAACAGUUCUUUUGAAAGAACCAUUUUCAAAGAAACAACAACCUAAUUAACAACAGCAUGUCCAUUUUACACAGAUAAUGGUUUAGAUAAAAAAAAAUUGGGGGGUUAGGGGCACCUGGGUGGCUCAGCUGGUUGAGUGACUGACUUCGGCUCAGCUCAUGAUCUCCUGGUCUGGCCCAUGGGUUUGAACCCCACCGUUGGGCUCUGUAUUGACAGCUCAGAGCCUGGAGAUGGCUUCACAUUCUGUCUCCCUCUCUCUCUGUCCCUCCCCCGUUUACGCUCGGUCUCUCUCUUUCAAAACUAAAUAAACAUUAAAAAAAUUUAUUUAAAAAGUUGGGGGGUUAGAACUGUAACAUCCCUAUUUCUAUGUUUAUAAACAGUCCUGGGUAGGACACUAUGAGAGCUAAGAUGUAUGGGUAAGGAACACAUAAUCUUAUCAGGAGUAGGGAUUUCUCUUCUUUCUUACUGCAGGAAUCAAUAAAAUUCUUGAUGUUCAAU